rnacentral:tRNA from 1 species
AUUACUUUGGCAGAGGAAUGUGUUAGAUUUAGAAUCUAAUUAUGCGGUUUUGGCCGCAGGUAAUA